CCCUCCGGGGUCCGGCGUUGGGGAUCGGGAACCCCUAAGACGGGAUCCCGGCCCCGAAAUACAGUGGCGGUCUCGCCGCAGCCUCUCAUGCGCAGUAGUUUGCACAACUCGCACCGGGAGCGCGGCGCGUCCACGUCCGUAAAACACCCAACUUCUGAAAUGUUGACCUCGGAUCAGGUAGGAAUACCCGCUGAACUUAA
rnacentral:misc_RNA from 1 species